UUGGUGUUUGAACUAAAUAAAAAGAGGGGAAUCAUAAUCAGGUUUUGAAGAGUCAAGCAUUUGUUGUUCUGCAGAGAGCUACAGAGUACUUGGACGUGUCUAACUUCAUAGAGGGUGUGCAGUAGUACUGGUUGAUUUCAGGAACAAUGGCAGUCUGGCCUCUUUGUCUGUCUUUCUUUCUGCUCUUUGCUCUGGAUGCUUCAGAGGCAGAACCUC